GACGAACGCUGGCGGCGUGCUUAACACAUGCAAGUCGAACGGAAAGGCCCUGCUUUUGUUGGGUGCUCGUGUGGCGAACGGGUGUGUAACACGUGUGUAUCCUGCCCUUGACUUUGUGAUAACUUCAGGAAACUGGGGCUCAUACCGGAUAUGAGCUCCUGCUGCAUGGUGUGGGUUGGAAAGUUUCGGCGGUUGGGGAUGGACUCGCGGCUUAUCAGCUUGUUGGUGGGGUAGUGGCUUACCAAGGCUUUGACGGGUAGCCGGCCUGAGAGGGUGACCGGCCACAUUGGGACUGAGAUACGGCCCAGACGGCUACGGGAGGCAGCAGUGGAGAAUAUUGCACAAUGGGCGGAAGCCUGAUGCAGCAACGCCGGGUGCGGGAUGACGGCCUUCGGGGUGUAAACCGCUUUCGCCUGUGACGAAGCGUGAGUGACGGUAAUGGGUAAAGAAGCAACGGCUAACUACGUG
rnacentral:rRNA from 1 species